AACGGCCAUACCAUGCUGAAUAUACCGGUUCUCGUUAGAUCACCGAAGUCAAGCAUCACUGGGCGCGGUCAGUACUUGGGUGGGUGACCACCUGGGAACACCGCGUGCCGUU
rnacentral:rRNA from 1 species